rnacentral:rRNA from 1 species
UACGUAGGUGGCGAGCGUUGUCCGGAUUUACUGGGCGUAAAGGGCUUGUAGGCGGUUCGUUAAGUCUGGUGUGAAAUCUCCCGGCUCAACUGGGAGGGGUCACUGGAUACUGGCGGACUAGAGGGGGGUAGAGGAGAGCAGAAUUCCUGGUGUAGCGGUGAAAUGCGUAGAUAUUAGGAGGAAUACCAGUGGCGAAGGCGGCUCUCUGGGCCUACCCUGACGCUGAGGAGCGAAAGCGUGGGGAGCAAACAGG